GAUGAACGCUAGCUACAGGCUUAACACAUGCAAGUCGAGGGGAAACGACAUCGAAAGCUUGCUUUUGGUGGGCGUCGACCGGCGCACGGGUGAGUAACGCGUAUCCAACCUGCCCACCACUUGGGGAUAACCUUGCGAAAGUAAGACUAAUACCCAAUGAUAUCCCACGAAGGCAUCCGAAUGGGAUUAAAGAUUUAUCGGUGAUGGAUGGGGAUGCGUCUGAUUAGCUUGUUGGCGGGGUAACGGCCCACCAAGGCUACGAUCAGUAGGGGUUCUGAGAGGAAGGUCCCCCACAUUGGAACUGAGACACGGUCCAAACUCCUACGGGAGGCAGCAGUGAGGAAUAUUGGUCAAUGGGCGAGAGCCUGAACCAGCCAAGUAGCGUGCGGGACGACGGCCCUAUGGGUUGUAAACCGCUUUUGAUUGGGAACAAGAGCGCCACGUGUGGUGCGUUGCGUGUACCUUUCGAAUAAGCAUCGGCUAAUUCCGUG
rnacentral:rRNA from 1 species